rnacentral:rRNA from 1 species
UACGUAGGGUGCAAGCGUUGUCCGGAAUUAUUGGGCGUAAAGAGCUCGUAGGCGGUCUGUCGCGUCGGAUGUGAAAACCCAGGGCUCAACCCUGGGCCUGCAUUCGAUACGGGCAGACUAGAGUUCGGUAGGGGAGACUGGAAUUCCCGGUGUAGCGGUGAAAUGCGCAGAUAUCGGGAGGAACACCGGUGGCGAAGGCGGUUCUCUGGGCCUGUACUGACGCUGAGGAGCGAAAGCGUGGGGAGCGAACAGG